GAUGAACGCUGGCGGCGUGCCUAAUACAUGCAAGUCGAGCGAACAGAUGAGGAGCUUGCUCCUCUGACGUUAGCGGCGGACAGGUGAGUAACACGUGGAAACCUACCUAUAAGACUGGGAUAACUUCGGGAAACCGGAGCUAAUACCGGAUAAUAUAUUGAACCGCAUGGUUCAAUAGUGAAAGACGGUUUUGCUGUCACCUAUAGAUGGAUCCGCGCCGCAUUAGCUAGUUGGUAAGGUAACGGCUUACCAAGGCAACGAUGCGUAGCCGACCUGAGAGGGUGAUCGGCCACACUGGAACUGAGACACGGUCCAGACUCCUACGGGAGGCAGCAGUAGGGAAUCUUCCGCAAUGGGCGAAAGCCUGACGGAGCAACGCCGCGUGAGUGAUGAAGGUCUUCGGAUCGUAAAACUCUGUUAUUAGGGAAGAACAAAUGUGUAAGUAACUAUGCACGUCUUGACGGUACCUAAUCAGAAAGCCACGGCUAACUACGUG
rnacentral:rRNA from 1 species